GGACGGGUGAGUAAUGCCUGGGAAAUUGCCCUGAUGUGGGGGAUAACCAUUGGAAACGAUGGCUAAUACCGCAUGAUAGCUUCGGCUCAAAGAGGGGGACCUUCGGGCCUCUCGCGUCAGGAUAUGCCCAGGUGGGAUUAGCUAGUUGGUGAGGUAAGGGCUCACCAAGGCGACGAUCCCUAGCUGGUCUGAGAGGAUGAUCAGCCACACUGGAACUGAGACACGGUCCAGACUCCUACGGGAGGCAGCAGUGGGGAAUAUUGCACAAUGGGCGCAAGCCUGAUGCAGCCAUGCCGCGUGUAUGAAGAAGGCCUUCGGGUUGUAAAGUACUUUCAGCAGUGAGGAAGGAGGUAUCGUUAAUAGCGGUAUCUUUUGACGUUAGCUGCAGAAGAAGCACCGGCUAACUCCGUGCCAGCAGCCGCGGUAAUACGGAGGGUGCGAGCGUUAAUCGGAAUUACUGGGCGUAAAGCGCAUGCAGGUGGUUUGUUAAGUCAGAUGUGAAAGCCCGGGGCUCAACCUCGGAAUUGCAUUUGAAACUGGCAGGCUAGAGUACUGUAGAGGGGGGUAGAAUUUCAGGUGUAGCGGUGAAAUGCGUAGAGAUCUGAAGGAAUACCGGUGGCGAAGGCGGCCCCCUGGACAGAUACUGACACUCA
rnacentral:rRNA from 1 species